rnacentral:pre_miRNA from 1 species
ACUGCUGAGCCAUCUCUCUAGUCCCUCUCCUAAUUUUUAAAAACUUAGAGUUGGGGGCUGGAGAGAUGGCUCAGCGGU